GUAGGUGGCAAGCGUUGUCCGGAAUUAUUGGGCGUAAAGCGCGCGCAGGCGGUUCUUUAAGUCUGAUGUGAAAGCCCACGGCUCAACCGUGGAGGGUCAUUGGAAACUGGAGAACUUGAGUACAGAAGAGGAAAGCGGAAUUCCACGUGUAGCGGUGAAAUGCGUAGAGAUGUGGAGGAACACCAGUGGCGAAGGCGGCUUCCUGGUCUGUAACUGACGCUGAGGCGCGAAAGCGUGGGGAGCAAACAGGAUUAGAUACCCUGGUAGUCCACGCCGUAAACGAUGAGUGCUAAGUGUUAGGGGGUUUCCGCCCCCCUUAGUGCUGCAGCUAACGCAUUAAGCACUCCGCCUGGGAGUACGGCCGCAAGGCUG
rnacentral:rRNA from 1 species